GUGACAGCCAUAAUCUGUGGAGUCCCUUCCUUCUGGGCCAGGGGUACCUCCAGUCCUCAUGAAGGGGGCACUCCUUGGGUCCUGCUGAUCCUGGGACCCCUCCCUCUGCUGGCCAGAUGUGACUUCCUCUGUUGAACUGUAAGUGCCACUAAUACCAAGGUGUUCACCUCCCUGAGACCUCCCACCUCCCGCCGUGUGGCAGAAAGGAGAGCAUGCCACAUGGUACCUAUGCCUGGGGCCACCCGGGGCUGAGAACAGUGGAAGCCAGGUUCUGCAAGUUCCCUUCUUUUUCGAGGUGAGGAGGUACCUUCUUACCUUCAGUCCUCACCAACCUUCCUCCUCUUGACUCCUGGCAGACUCUGGACCCAACCUGUGCUGACCAGGUGUGGCUAUCUCUGCUGAGCUGAGGACACCCCUCAGACGGAGGCCCCCACCUCUCUGAGGCCUGGGAGGCAGAAGUGAAGGGGCGCUACACUGACACCCCUGAAUGGGAUUCCCAAGACUGACAAAAGUGCUGCGUCAGAGCUCCCCUCUGCGGACCUGAGUCUAUCCGUCGGAUUCCUGAGGCGGAACGAGGAGCCUGGGCCCGCUUCCCCGCAACAAUCUCAAGCCGCCAUCAGAACCAGACCCUCACUUCUCUGUGAUCCUCAAGGCGCAAGUCACUGCCAUCACAUCCGGCCACCAAGAUACGGGCU